GAGCCGUAGCUUUAGCCUGGAUUCUGUCAGCGUUUGCUUCCUGCCAUAGUACUGCUCCCGAUGUGUGACCAAGGACUCGAGGAAGUCUGGAUGCUCCCAGGAGACCUAUCCAUCCGUGCACAGAACUUCUGUGGCUGAGUCUCCCAGUGUCUAAAGGGAAAACCCCUGAGGCCCUUGCCUGACUCGUGAACUAUCCCAUAGCACAGGCAUUACAGUUGGAGGCCCACAGCGAGAUCAGGACCCUUGAGAGAUCGCCCUUGGAAGGCUGGCCAGCAG